CAAAACACAGUUUUCAUCCUCUCUUCACUCUUGUCCCAGCCCCUGGUGGAGAUACUCACGGGCGACAAGUGGACUUGCCGGGAGCAUUGACAGGAUAUGGAGAGGGACAGUUGCUCUUUCUAGAUGGGCUGUUAGAUGUCUCUGCUCCGAAGGACCAGCUCUGUUUCACCUGGCCGUUGGCCUGCAGUGUCUGUUGUGGUCUCGGCCAAGCUGUCAUCACUAGAAGUCAUCACAAAAGUCAUGCUUGAGAAGAUCUUGAAAGGAGUCCUUUGGCCUACUCUUUGGAGCAGUCCUACCUCAGCUCAUCACACGAAAAGAAUGAUGAACUUGAAAUCCUGCUGUAUGUCCUUGGCACUCCACAUAAUAAAGAAAGUUCCUUCCCAGUUCAUCUGAAACAAUCUUAUCAUCCUUUGGACUCCACAUACCUCCAGCUUGUCUGAUCGGAGUGGUGGAUCCUUGAAGUCUUCCUCGGCUCCCGUGGGUGGACAAUGACCCUGCCUGUCUACUCGUGGUCACUAUGGUGAGCUCUCCAGGUGGGGGCUGGUCACAUUCAAUAUGUUAGGACCAAAGAAGAAGGCACCAGUGACCAGAUGCAUCAGGAACAAAGAGGGAGGAAAGCAGGGUCCUGAAAAUAGAAAUCACAUCAAAAAAUAGAUGACGAGUUGAUAAUGCCUUGAGGCCUUUGUUCAGGAACACUCUGGCACUAUAAAGGGAAGAAUGACAGCACAGUAUUCUUCUGUGAAGCAUGAGUUGGUUUUUCUUCAAGAGUUCUUCCCAAAGAAGGCCUUGUGGGUUGUGGCUAACUCUGUUUUCCAUUUUUAUCUAGAUUUGUUCUUUAACGCAAAUGUUAUUCUUUUUCCAAGGAUUGCUGUAUCAUCACAUUAAGAAUAAGAUAAACAAACUUGACAAAAAUUCACUGGAAACAAUAAGUGUGGUAAUUGCAUAUU